rnacentral:rRNA from 1 species
UGGGGAAUAUUGGGCAAUGGAGGCAACUCUGACCCAGCAACGCCGCGUGAGGGAAGAAGGUUUUCGGAUUGUAAACCUCUGUCCUAGGGGACGAAGAAAGUGACGGUACCCUAGGAGGAAGCCCCGGCUACCUACGUGCCAGCAGCCGCGGUAAUACGUAGGGGGCAAGCGGUGUCCGGAAUUACUGGGCGUAAAGGGUGCGUAGGCGGUAUGGUAAGUUAGAUGUGAAGGCCCCGGGCUUAACUCGGGAGUUGCAUUUAAAACUGUCAGACUAGAGUGCAGGAGAGGAAAGCGGAAUUCCUAGUGUAGCGGUGAAAUGCGUAGAUAUUAGGAGGAACACCAGUGGCGAAGGCGGCUUUCUGGACUGGAACUGACGCUGAGGCGCGAAAGCGUGGGGAGCGAACA